CAUGCUCGGGCGUAGGCAUUUUGAUUACGGCCAAGGGUUACACCGUGCCCGUGAUGGGAAACACCACUGCACGCCUCUGUAAUUUCUCAUCAACACUUGAAUUUACAUUUCAAUAUCCAAACAAAUGAAUCUCAUGAUUAAUAUUUCAAUGUAUAUAGUUUUUGCUUGAGAAAAUUUAGUGGAUCCGUUUCCUGUUCCAUGAAAUGGACGAUUCCUUUUCAAACUGCCAUUGUAACUAUCAUAAAUCGUGACGGGGUUGAGUUUGAAUUAUUGUAUGUAUCUAUCGAUAAUUGAAAGCGCAAAUAAUGUUUUGAAACCUUUUUUCCGUUGUAGGAGUUUUGGUUUUCAGGUCAUUAUAUAUAUGUGGUAUCAAUCAUGGACCCCGUGGAAUUAAAAUUUUAGACAAUUAUGUAUCGAAAUAAAAA
rnacentral:lncRNA from 1 species